AAUAAUAUUUAUAUUCAGAGGUACAUAUAUGUAGGUAUCAUGUUUGAGGGAACUUAGACAGUUUCCUUCAGUUAUUAUUUUAUUAGGACUUCAUGAGGGGGUCAAAGGUCACAGGUCAGUCAUGUGACAUGAUGUCAGACUUUUCCUGUCUGCAGCUUCUGAUCCAAUAACUUUGACCCCUCUGGGACAUAAAUGUAGUUUUUCUGUGCAGAACAGAAAUGAUUGAUGUUUGCUGAUAGUGUGCAGCUCGUCUCCUCCAUCGUCUCCACUCAGACACGUCUGCAUGUAGAACUGUGACACAUUUCAACUACAUUUAGUCUGGAUCACAGUAAACUGUAGGAUUACACUUCAGCAUGUGAUUCAGUCACACUGCAUGUUAAUGAACAUGUUGCUGACUGAGGUCUGAUGAUGAUAUCAGAGUUGGUCUGAAGCUCACUGAGCUGCUUCACACUUGUAGAACAAACCACUGAGUUCAUCCUUCAUCACUGACAGUCUGUGUUACGUCUGUUUACAGGACGCAGACGUGGAGCCAACAGCAACCAAGGCAGCAGCAACCCAGCAGGCACGCCUCUUAUGACAGGCAAUGACAGCAGCAAUGGAAGCGAUCCAUCAAACAUUUCGACCAUCAGCCAAACUGGCAAUGGAAUCACAGCUCAGAAUGCUGAAGUUGAGGUGUAUGCACAGCACUCGAAGGACGGUAAAAAACUCCUCUUGACAUGCAUCGCCAGAGGCCAGGGAGUCAUCAACGUGGAGAUCAAGCAUAAAGACGAAGGACGGUAAAAAACUCCUCUUGACAUGCAUCGCCAGAGGCCAGGGAGUCAUCGACGUGGAGAUCAAGCAUAAAGAGGAGGGCAGGGAAGAGGAGAUUGUAACCGAAGAGAACGGUCUGAUGAAAUCAGACGCUGAGAUAAACAACGACGGCACCUUGGAGAUAAGAGCCCAUGUGGAGAUUAAGGGUGACAAGUCUAAGUACAGCUGUGGAGUCAUUUGUGAGAAACAGAACAUUAAGCGUGACUUCGCCUGUGCAUUGCACUGGAGAGGACCACCAGAAGUCCAGUGGAGGUGGAUAGAGAUCCCUAAUCUGGAGGACUACCCCGACCCCAUACGUUUCUGACUCCUGAGUCGCUGAGAGCUGUAUGAUGGAGACGCUCAGUCCUGUGAAGCCCUGAAGUCUCCAUCAGAUCUACACACAACACCAGAUUUACCAAAACAUAUUCACCAGUGUGCAGAGCAUUAAGACUGUUUUGUUUUUGCUUUUUUAAAAGUGGAAUUUUUUCCUUUUAAUGCAUUUUACAGAUUAAGAAACUGAUGAGUCGGCAUUAAAAUGAGGUUCUUUGAAAUGAGUUUUUAAAAAGUGCCUGUUUAAGCUGAACCUCAGUCACAGUGAACGUUACAUCAGGUCAGAGGUGAAUUCAGGUUUUAUGUAUUUUAAUAAAACUAUCUCAGUUUGUUCAUAA